AGCGAACGCUGGCGGCAGGCCUAACACAUGCAAGUCGAACGAACCUUUCGGGGUUAGUGGCGGACGGGUGAGUAACACGUGGGAACGUGCCUUUAAGUUCGGAAUAACUCAGGGAAACUUGUGCUAAUACCGAAUGUGCCCUUCGGGGGAAAGAUUUAUCGCCUUUAGAGCGGCCCGCGUCUGAUUAGCUAGUUGGUUGAGGUAAUGGCUCACCAAGGCGACGAUCAGUAGCUGGUCUGAGAGGAUGAUCAGCCACAUUGGGACUGAGACACGGCCCAAACUACUACGGGAGGCAGCAGUGGGGAAUCUUGGGCAAUGGGCGAAAGACUGACGCAGCCAUGCCGCGUGAAUGAUGAAGGUCUUAGGAUUGUAAAAUUCUUUCACCGGGGACGAUAAUGACGGUACCCGGAGAAGAAGCCCAGGCUAACGUCGUG
rnacentral:rRNA from 1 species